rnacentral:rRNA from 1 species
AUACGGGGGAUGCAAGCGUUAUUCGGAAUCAUUGGGCGUAAAGGGCGCGCAGGCGGUUUGGUAAGUCAGAUGUGAAAGCCCAUGGCUCAACCAUGGAAGUGCAUUUGAAACUGUCAGACUUGAGUACUAGAGGGGAAAGUGGAAUUCCCGGUGUAGAGGUGAAAUUCGUAGAUAUCGGGAGGAAUACCGGUGGCGAAGGCGACUUUCUGGCUAGAUACUGACGCUGAGGCGCGAAAGCGUGGGGAGCAAACAGGAUUAGAUACCCCAGUAGUCC